rnacentral:rRNA from 1 species
GCGGCCGAUUAGGUAGUUGUUGGGGUAACGGCCCAACAAGCCUGUAAUCGGUACGGGUUGUGGGAGCAAGAGCCCGGAGAUGGAUUCUGAGACAUGAAUCCAGGCCCUACGGGGCGCAGCAGGCGCGAAAACUUUACAAUGCGAGCAAUCGUGAUAAGGAAACCCUGAGUGCCUGUCAAUGCAGGCUGUUCUGGUGUCUAACACACACCAGGAGAAAGGGCGGGGCAAGACCGGUGCCAGCCGCCGCGGUAAUACCGGCUGCUCGAGUGAUAGCCACUUUUACUGGGCUUAAAGCGUUCGUAGCUUGGUCGUUAAGUCUCUGGGGAAAUCUUUUGGCUCAACCAAAAGGCGUCUCAGGGAAACUGACGAUCUUGGAACCGGGAGAGGUAAGACGUACUUCGGGGGUAGGAGUGAAAUCUUGUAAUCCCCGAGGGACGACCGAUGGCGAAGGCAUCUUACCAGAACGGCUUCGACAGUGAGGGACGAAAGCUGGGGGAGCAAACCGGAUUAGAUACCCGGGUAGUCCCAGCCGUAAACGAUGUGCGUUAGGUGUGUCAGUGACCACGAGUCGCUGAGGUGCCGAAGGGAAACCGUGAAACGCACCGCCUGGGAAGUACGGUCGCAAGGCUGAAACUUAA